rnacentral:rRNA from 1 species
UACGGAGGGUGCAAGCGUUAUCCGGAUUCACUGGGUUUAAAGGGCGCGUAGGCGGCCCACUAAGUCAGACGUGAAAUCCCUCGGCUUAACCGGGGAACUGCCCUCCAAACUGCUUUGCUUGAGGCCGGGAGAGGUGAGUGGAAUUCCCAGUGUAGCGGUGAAAUGCGUAGAUAUUGGGAGGAACACCAGUGGCGAAGGCGGCUCACUGGACCGGAACUGACGCUGAGGCGCGAAAAGCGUGGGGGAGCAAAACAGGGAUUAGAAA